rnacentral:rRNA from 1 species
GAUUAUCUUGUUGGGGAGGUAGAAGCUCACCACGGCGACGAUGCGUAGCUGGUCUGAGAGGAUGAUCAGCCACACUGGCACUGAGACACGGGCCAGACUCCUACGGGAGGCAGCAGUGGGGAAUCUUGGGCAAUGGGCGAAAGCCUGACCCAGCCAUGCCGCGUGGAGGAAGACACCCCUAUGGGGCGUAAACUCCUUUUGUGCAGGAAGAAGGCCUCGGUCACCGAGGUUUGACGGUACUGCACGAAUAAGCACCGGCUAACUCCGUGCCAGCAGCCGCGGUAAUACGGAGGGUGCAAGCGUUGUCCGGAAUCACUGGGUGUAAAGGGUGUGUAGGCGGGAUUGUAAGUCAGAGGUGAAAUCUUACGGCUCAACCGUAAAAUUGCCUUUGAUACUGCAGUUCUUGAGUCCCGGAGAGGUUGUUGGAAUUCGUGGUGUAGCGGUGAAAUGCUAGAUAUCACGAGGAACACCAGAGGCGAAAGCGAACAACUGGACGGGUACUGACGCUAAGGCACGAAAGCGUGGGGAGCAAACAGGAUUAGAUACCCUGGUA